GGUCGAGUCGGCCUGCGCGGAAGAUGUAACGGGGCUAAACCAUGCACCGAAGCUGCGGCAGCGACGUUUAUGCGUUGUUGGGUAGGGGAGCGUUCUGUAAGCCUGCGAAGGUGGCCUGUGAGGGUUGCUGGAGGUAUCAGAAGUGCGAAUGCUGACAUAAGUAACGAUAAAGCGGGUGAAAAGCCCGCUCGCCGGAAGACCAAGGGUUCCUGUCCAACGUUAAUCGGGGCAGGGUGAGUCGACCCCUAAGGCGAGGCCGAAAGGCGUAGUCGAUGGGAAACGGGUUAAUAUUCCCGUACUUGGUGUUACUGCGAAGGGGGGACGGAGAAGGCUAUGUUGGCCGGGCGACGGUUGUCCCGGUUUAAGCGUGUAGGCUGGUUUUCCAGGCAAAUCCGGAAAAUCAAGGCUGAGGCGUGAUGACGAGGCACUACGGUGCUGAAGCAACAAAUGCCCUGCUUCCAGGAAAAGCCUCUAAGCAUCAGGUAACAUCAAAUCGUACCCCAAACCGACACAGGUGGUCAGGUAGAGAAUACCAAGGCGCUUGAGAGAACUCGGGUGAAGGAACUAGGCAAAAUGGUGCCGUAACUUCGGGAGAAGGCACGCUGACACGUAGGUGAAGUGAUUUACUCAUGGAGCUGAAGUCAGUCGAAGAUACCAGCUGGCUGCAACUGUUUAUUAAAAACACAGCACUGUGCAAACACGAAAGUGGACGUAUACGGUGUGACGCCUGCCCGGUGCCGGAAGGUUAAUUGAUGGGGUCAGCGCAAGCGAAGCUCCUGAUCGAAGCCCCGGUAAACGGCGGCCGUAACUAUAACGGUCCUAAGGUAGCGAAAUUCCUUGUCGGGUAAGUUCCGACCUGCACGAAUGGCGUAAUGAUGGCCAGGCUGUCUCCACCCGAGACUCAGUGAAAUUGAACUCGCUGUGAAGAUGCAGUGUACCCGCGGCAAGACGGAAAGACCCCGUGAACCUUUACUAUAGCUUGACACUGAACAUUGAGCCUUGAUGUGUAGGAUAGGUGGGAGGCUUUGAAGUGUGGACGCCAGUCUGCAUGGAGCCGACCUUGAAAUACCACCCUUUAAUGUUUGAUGUUCUAACGUGGACCCGUAAUCCGGGUUGCGGACAGUGUCUGGUGGGUAGUUUGACUGGGGCGGUCUCCUCCUAAAGAGUAACGGAGGAGCACGAAGGUUGGCUAAUCCUGGUCGGACAUCAGGAGGUUAGUGCAAUGGCAUAAGCCAGCUUGACUGCGAGCGUGACGGCGCGAGCAGGUGCGAAAGCAGGUCAUAGUGAUCCGGUGGUUCUGAAUGGAAGGGCCAUCGCUCAACGGAUAAAAGGUACUCCGGGGAUAACAGGCUGAUACCGCCCAAGAGUUCAUAUCGACGGCGGUGUUUGGCACCUCGAUGUCGGCUCAUCACAUCCUGGGGCUGAAGUAGGUCCCAAGGGUAUGGCUGUUCGCCAUUUAAAGUGGUACGCGAGCUGGGUUUAGAACGUCGUGAGACAGUUCGGUCCCUAUCUGCCGUGGGCGCUGGAGAACUGAGGGGGGCUGCUCCUAGUACGAGAGGACCGGAGUGGACGCAUCACUGGUGUUCGGGUUGUCAUGCCAAUGGCACUGCCCGGUAGCUAAAUGCGGAAGAGAUAAGUGCUGAAAGCAUCUAAGCACGAAACUUGCCCCGAGAUGAGUUCUCCCUGAGACUUUAGGUCUCCUGAAGGAACGUUGAAGACGACGACGUUGAUAGGCCGGGUGUGUAAGCGCAGCGAUGCGUUGAGCUAACCGGUACUA
rnacentral:rRNA from 1 species